rnacentral:rRNA from 1 species
AUACGGAGGGUGCAAGCGUUGUUCGGAAUCACUGGGCGUAAUGGGCGCGCAGGCGGUUUGGUAAGUCAGAUGUGAAAGCCCACGGCUCAACCGUGGAAGUGCAUUUGAAACUGUCAGACUUGAGUACUAGAGGGGAAAGUGGAAUUCCCGGUGUAGAGGUGAAAUUCGUAGAUAUCGGGAGGAAUACCGGUGGCGAAGGCGACUUUCUGGCUAGAUACUGACGCUGAGGCGCGAAAGCGUGGGGAGCAAACCGGAUUAGAAACCCUAGUAGUCC